GCUGCAACUCGCCUACAUGAAGCUGGAAUUGCUAGUAAUCAUAGGUCAGCAUACUAUGGUGAAUACGUUCCCGGGCCUUGUACACACCGCCCGUCACACCAUGAGAGUUGAGAAUACCCGAAGUCCAUGUUAAAGUGGCCGAAGGUAGGCUUGAUGAUUGGGGUGAAGUCGUAACAAGGUACC
rnacentral:rRNA from 1 species